rnacentral:rRNA from 1 species
GACGAACGCUGGCGGCGUGCUUAACACAUGCAAGUCGAACGAUGAAGCUAGAGCUAGCUCUGGUGGAUUAGUGGCGAACGGGUGAGUAACACGUGAGUAACCUGCCCCGAACUCUGGGAUAACUGCUGGCACCGGUAGCUACUACCUGUGAUGACCAAUGAAGGCAUCUUCUGUUGGUGGAAAGAAUUUCGGUUCGGGAUGGACUCGCGGCCUAUCAGCUUGUUGGUGAGGUAACGGCUCACCAAGGCGACGAGGGGUAGGCGGUCUGAGAGGGUGAUCGGCCACACUGGGACUGGGACACGGCCCAGGCUCCUACGGGAGGCAGGAGUGGGGAAUAUUGCACAAUGGGCGCGAGCCUGAUGCAGCAACGCCGCGUGAGGGACGACGGCCAUCGGGUUGUAAACCUCUUUUAGUAGGGAAGAAGCGAAAGUGACGGUACCUGCAGAAAAAGCACCGGCUAACUACGUGCCAGCCGCCGCGGUAA